GACGGGGGAUGCGAGCGUUAUCCGGAAUGAUUGGGCGUAAAGGGUCCGCAGGUGGCCCGGUCAGUCCGCUGUCAAAGCCUGGGGCUCAACCCUGGAGAGGCGGCGGAGACCACCGGGCUUGAGUCCGGUAGGGGCAGAGGGAAUUCCCGGUGGAGCGGUGAAAUGCGUAGAUAUCGUUUGGAACGCCAAUGGUGAAAACAGGUCGCUGGGAGUGUGCUGACGCUGAGACACGAAAGCCAGGGGAGCGAACGGG
rnacentral:rRNA from 1 species